rnacentral:tRNA from 1 species
GCCUGGGUGGCUCAGUCGGUUAAGCAUCCGACUUCGGCUCAGGUCAUGAUCUUGCGGUUCGUGAGUUCGAGCCCCACAUCAGGCU